ACUGAGACACCUGUUCCUUUGUCCAGAUCACAUUUUUAGAUAUCACUGGAAGGAUUAAUUCCUCCUGUCCU
ensembl:misc_RNA